rnacentral:lncRNA from 1 species
AGGCCAACACUCUGUCGUCUCUGUCUUUUCCUCUUAAAUUUUGCCUUGAGUCCUGUUGUCCUCUGAGGUAUCCUGUACCUAAAGUAACCAACCAUGUUUCCCAAAUCUGGUCCAACAACUUCUUCUUUGCCUAUUUGUUAGCCUGUUUUUAUGCCCUGAUUUGAUCCCAUUCAGCCCUGCGUUUACCACAGUACUUCACCUAGAAUGAAGUCACAAGUCAGGACCGCUCCAGGAAAUCUUGGAGUCUGGAGUGAGCGCCCCCUCCAUUUCUGGGGCAUGCUUAGAUUGUGCUUUUCCUUCAUUGCUCUCCCCUGAUUCCUCCACACCCACCCACCUUGCGUCCUGUAGCCUCUUCCCCAUCACCUCCCCUUUCUCCUUCAGGGGGGCUCCCCCAGGGCUGGUAGCCCAAAGCUGCUGCUACAGCCGCCAUGGGGGUUUGAAUGCCUCCUCCCCUGCCACAGGUAAGUACUUAUGCCUCCUUAUCUUCAAUUCAAGUAGGCCAGGUCCCACCCUUCUGCAGCCUUCCUACGCGCACACCUGCUGUUUCCACAGGCAACCAAGAGUGGAAGCCGGGGGACCAGGGACCAGAGCCCAGGUGUGCCGGCGAGCACAGGUGUGGGGAGGAGCCGGCGCCCAGCGCGCCUCUCCCGGCGCCACCUGCUCCGCCUCGGGCCGCGGGCGGGGACAUGUUCAACGCCAGGUUCAUUCGCACCCUGCAGGAGCGCCGCGGCACCAGGCCCUGGUGACCCCGGGACCCCGCGCCCCGGACGCAUGAGGUCCCCGCGCCGCCGGCCGAGGGCGCGUUCACUCAUUCAUUCGCUCAUUCAGCAGGCUUAGCUCCAAGUCGUUUGUACCUCACUUUUAACCUGAGUAAUAAAAAUAUUUAUUUUAUCGUAAGAGCUCUUCAUCAGCUCGUCAUUCGCUUAAGGACCCCUUGGCUCGGGUGGUCCCACCCCGUCUCCACUCAGCUGUGCGCAAGCGCGCUGGGGCUGCCGCCGGGCCGCUAACC